rnacentral:rRNA from 1 species
GAUGAACGCUAGCUACAGGCUUAACACAUGCAAGUCGAGGGGCAUCAGGAAGAAAGCUUGCUUUCUUUGCUGGCGACCGGCGCACGGGUGAGUAACACGUAUCCAACCUGCCCUUUACUCGGGGAUAGCCUUUCGAAAGAAAGAUUAAUACCCGAUGGCAUAAUGAUUCCGCAUGGUUUCAUUAUUAAAGGAUUCCGGUAAAGGAUGGGGAUGCGUUCCAUUAGGUUGUUGGUGAGGUAACGGCUCACCAAGCCUUCGAUGGAUAGGGGUUCUGAGAGGAAGGUCCCCCACAUUGGAACUGAGACACGGUCCAAACUCCUACGGGAGGCAGCAGUGAGGAAUAUUGGUCAAUGGGCGCUAGCCUGAACCAGCCAAGUAGCGUGAAGGAUGAAGGCUCUAUGGGUCGUAAACUUCUUUUAUAUAAGAAUAAAGUGCAGUAUGUAUACUGUUUUGUAUGUAUUAUAUGAAUAAGGAUCGGCUAACUCCGUGCCAGCAGCCGCGGUAAUACGGAGGAUCCGAGCGUUAUCCGGAUUUAUUGGGUUUAAAGGGAGCGUAGGUGGACUGGUAAGUCAGUUGUGAAAGUUUGCGGCUCAACCGUAAAAUUGCAGUUGAUACUGUCAGUCUUGAGUACAGUAGAGGUGGGCGGAAUUCGUGGUGUAGCGGUGAAAUGCUUAGAUAUCACGAAGAACUCCGAUUGCGAAGGCAGCUCACUGGACUGCAACUGACACUGAUGCUCGAAAGUGUGGGUAUCAAACAGGAUUAGAUACCCUGGUAGUCCACACAGUAAACGAUGAAUACUCGCUGUUUGCGAUAUACAGUAAGCGGCCAAGCGAAAGCAUUAAGUAUUCCACCUGGGGAGUACGCCGGCAACGGUGAAACUCAAAGGAAUUGACGGGGGCCCGCACAAGCGGAGGAACAUGUGGUUUAAUUCGAUGAUACGCGAGGAACCUUACCCGGGCUUAAAUUGCAGUGGAAUGAUGUGGAAACAUGUCAGUGAGCAAUCACCGCUGUGAAGGUGCUGCAUGGUUGUCGUCAGCUCGUGCCGUGAGGUGUCGGCUUAAGUGCCAUAACGAGCGCAACCCUUAUCUUUAGUUACUAACAGGUUAUGCUGAGGACUCUAGAGAGACUGCCGUCGUAAGAUGUGAGGAAGGUGGGGAUGACGUCAAAUCAGCACGGCCCUUACGUCCGGGGCUACACACGUGUUACAAUGGGGGGUACAGAAGGCAGCUAGCGGGUGACCGUAUGCUAAUCCCAAAAGCCUCUCUCAGUUCGGAUCGAAGUCUGCAACCCGACUUCGUGAAGCUGGAUUCGCUAGUAAUCGCGCAUCAGCCACGGCGCGGUGAAUACGUUCCCGGGCCUUGUACACACCGCCCGUCAAGCCAUGGGAGCCGGGGGUACCUGAAGUACGUAACCGCAAGGAUCGUCCUAGGGUAAAACUGG